UAGGGCGGGACACGAGGAAUCCUGUCUGAAUCCGGGUCGACCACGAUCCAACCCUAAAUACUAAUACCAGAUCGAUAGUGCACAAGUACCGUGAGGGAAAGGUGAAAAGAACUGAGGUGAUCAGAGUGAAAUAGAACCUGAAACCAUUUGCUUACAAUCAUUCAGAGCCCUAUGUAGCAAUACAGGGUGAUGGACUGCCUUUUGCAUAAUGAGCCUGCGAGUUGUGGUGUCUGGCAAGGUUAAGCAAACGCGAAGCCGUAGCGAAAGCGAGUCUGAAUAGGGCGCUUAGUCAGAUGCUGCAGACCCGAAACGAAGUGAUCUAUCCAUGAGCAAGUUGAAGCUAGUGUAAGAACUAGUGGAGGACUGAACCCAUAGGCGUUGAAAAGCCCCGGGAUGACUUGUGGAUAGGGGUGAAAGGCCAAUCAAACUUCGUGAUAGCUGGUUCUCUCCGAAAUAUAUUUAGGUAUAGCGUUGUGUCGUAAUAUAAGGGGGUAGAGCACUGAAUGGGCUAGGGCAUACACCAAUGUACCAAACCCUAUCAAACUCCGAAUACCUUAUAUGUAAUCACAGCAGUCAGGCGGCGAGUGAUAAAAUCCGUCGUCAAGAGGGAAACAACCCAGACUACCAGCUAAGGUCCCUAAGUCUUACUUAAGUGGAAAACGAUGUGAAGUUACUUAAACAACCAGGAGGUUGGCUUAGAAGCAGCCAUCCUUUAAAGAAAGCGUAAUAGCUCACUGGUCUAGUGAUUUUGCGCGGAAAAUAUAACGGGGCUAAAGU
rnacentral:rRNA from 1 species